AAUAUACAGAAAAGCGGAAAUAAAUGGCAGUAUAAAUGUGCAAUGAAGUGUAGAAAAUUAAGGGAAGCUAGAUACAUCCAGGAAAAAUUCAUGGCAUGAAGGGCUAAGGACAAAUAAAAAUUUUGAAAGUAUAUUUAAGGAGAAAAAUACUAGCAAUGGAAUGGACCCAUUACUAGAUAGAGAAAAUGCCUUACAGUGAGAGACUUAAAUAGUUCAAUUUGUUUAGCUUAUCUAAAAGAAGAUGGAGAGGUGAUUUGAUUACAGUGUACUGGGAGAGAAGAUCCUGGGUAC